rnacentral:sRNA from 1 species
CCUAAACUUACGUUCCCCAGUCUGUCGUCAUUGACAAUAUGCGAUUUGCCCAACUUCAAGCAUAAUACUAUAUAUUGCAUUCAUGAUGCUGCAACACCAACAUUUGAGUUAAUUAUGCCCAACUUAGAGCAUCUGACAGUAGGUAAAGAUGAACUAAAGAAGAUUGUGGAUGGAGAAUUUCAUAGAAACCUUUUAGACAAGUUAAAAGUUCUCGGUCUGUGCUUUGAUAUUGAGUGUGAUGAAUUUCCGGGGUAUAGAUUUCUACAACAGUUGCCAAAUGUAAAGAAGCUUGUGGUGUGUGACAGUUCCUUUAAAGUGAUUUUCUGCGAUCAAAG